GGCGGAGGAACCGCCCGCCAAGCGUCACAAUGGCAAGACAUCGAACAAGAGCAGCAACCUCGUCGACAUUCACGUCCCAGUGAGAAGCGCGAGUACACCAAAACGCUCAAAGGGGUUGAGCUCCACGGCAAGGAGACGCUAGAGAUCGCCUGCACCAGCAUACCAGACAAGGCCGACGAGGUGAUUAGUAGGCUCAGGAUGAAGGGCGGUGGCUUGUAUCCGAGCUUCAUCGGAGUUGAUGUGGAGUACACCAACAAAGAAGAACCUCCACAGAUGGCGGCAGUCCUGCAGUUGUGCGUCGAGGAACUCUGCUUGGUAUACCACAUCGCAGCAGCCACAAAAUGGCCUAAGCGCCUCAAAGACUUCCUGCAGGAGGAGAAAUUGUACACAUUUGUCGGUUUCAGCAUUGGAGGUGACAAG
rnacentral:rRNA from 1 species